ACCUCUGCUGUCGAUGUACCGACGUAGGCUUAAUAGCCGGAUGUGGGUGACUGAUUUCCGUGAGCCGAAAGCUUCGCCGCCGCGGGACCUCCGCCCGAGGUCUGCGGUUCUUCAGUCCUGUGGGUCGGCGGCGCGUCGUGUUGACGCCUGCGCACGAUAAGAUAAGGAUCCCCUCCCUUCUCCCGUUCGACGUGCACUCGUCGGUUGCGAUCGAAAACCGCCGACUCGCAUAAAACAUUGCACGAGGCCGGCGCGGCGCAGCUCGGCGCUCUUGUACUGUGCUCACAUAGAUGUGCACAAAUAUGUCCGGCGUAGUUGGGAUUCUUAUAGGAGUACAUGUCAAGGUCUUCCAGCGGGUAUGUCUAGAGAAUAGCAACAAACGAGCAAGAGAACAACCAACAAAGAAACAACCCUAACCAUAUACCCAACUGAGGCCUCAAAGACUUCUGUCACUGUAAUAAAUAAAGACGUACAAUGAGACAUAAGUAUCGAAAUGCAAUCGAAUCAAACAAGCUAUUGACAGACGAAGCAUCUUGUAUCAGCCGCGAAAGUUGACAAAAAAGCGGGCGGCGCGUCGGCGCCGACGGCGCAGGUGGGCUCCCGUCAGCCGUGCUCACCCGUCACAACAUUAUCUAAUGUCACCAGGUGGACUUGACGCGUAAUAUUAAGCAAUUCAUUUAAUUCAACAAGAUUUUUAAUUUUAUUAAUAUUCAAUUCAAAAAUAUGUUUUUCCAUCUAUUUGCUAUUUAACUGUUUCACUUAAUUGCAUUGGAUUAAUUUCCGUACAAAUUUAUAAUUUUAUGCUAUCCAAAUAUAUUUUUGUAAAUAUUGUUA